AACGAACGCUGGCGGCAUGCCUAACACAUGCAAGUCGAACGAGACCUUCGGGUCUAGUGGCGCACGGGUGCGUAACGCGGGGGAACCUGCCCUUAGGUUCGGAAUAACUCCCCGAAAGGGGGGCUAAUACCGGAUAAUGUCUUCGGACCAAAGAUUUAUCGCCUUUGGAUGGGCCCGCGUUGGAUUAGCUAGUUGGUAGGGUAAAAGCCUACCAAGGCGACGAUCCAUAGCUGGUCUGAGAGGAUGAUCAGCCACACUGGGACUGAGACACGGCCCAGACUCCUACGGGAGGCAGCAGUGGGGAAUCUUGGCCAAUGGGCGAAAGCCUGAUCCAGCAAUGCCGCGUGAGUGAUGAAGGCCUUAGGGUUGUAAAGCUCUUUUACCCGGGAUGAUAAUGACAGUACCGGGAGAAUAAGCUCCGGCUAACUCCGUG
rnacentral:rRNA from 1 species